CUGAUGAUUUUAAAUCAGACCAAACAGAGGAGCUACACGAGAAACAAAGCUCUCCUAUCCAUGACCUUCAGCACAAAGAGAAGAUGAUCAAUGAACUGGAAACCAGUGAACCCACGGAUUCCAUCCAAGAGAGAUCGGCCUCUGUCCCAGAGAGUGAGGGCCUCUUACUGGGGGAGACCCUCUCUCUGGAAGAAAAGAUGCAGGAGGAGGAAGAAGAAACUGGCAAACCAGUUUCUCCUCAACAUCAGGACCAGGAAAAGGAUGCAGACGGGCCCAUGACCCGUGAGACCACUGAUAACACGGCUCUGGCUAUGAGGGAUACAAACAAAGAGGAGACAGAGUUGGGUGAAGGGUCCGUAAUGUCACGGGGGACCCCCGGGGAACACUCUGCCUCUGAUAAUGGAGAAGAACAGAAGAAGGUAGAGGACCCCAAAGGAGUUGAAUCAAGUGCAACUGGACUUGGUUGAACUUGAUUCAACUCCUUUGGAUAACCAUGACCUGGAUGAAUGAGAACAUUCACAGAAAAGGAGGAAGAAAACGAGGCACACCAGACAUAACCUCCUCAUUUUUAAUGUACUUUUUGUUUUAAAUGUCAUACUUUUGCAUUUAUGUGUGAUUACAAAAUAACUUCUUUAUCAAACCAUGUAGUAUCUGUUCGUUGUCAUUGGGGAGAGAUGUACAUGAUGCAUGUGAAUAUGUAACUGUUGGGUCAAUAAAGAAGUAA